GGUUGUGGCUCAGUGGUAGAGGGCUUGCCUUGCAUGUGUGAGGCACUGGGUUCAAACCUCAGCACCA
rnacentral:tRNA from 1 species